rnacentral:rRNA from 1 species
CAUAGGUUAAUGAGGCGAACCGGGGGAACUGAAACAUCUAAGUACCCCGAGGAAAAGAAAUCAACCGAGAUUCCCCCAGUAGCGGCGAGCGAACGGGGAGGAGCCCAGAGCCUGAAUCAGUGUGUGUGUUAGUGGAAGCGUCUGGAAAGGCGCGCGAUACAGGGUGACAGCCCCGUACACAAAAAUGCACAUAUUGUGAGCUCGAUGAGUAGGGCGGGACACGUGGUAUCCUGUCUGAAUAUGGGGGGACCAUCCUCCAAGGCUAAAUACUCCUGACUGACCGAUAGUGAACCAGUACCGUGAGGGAAAGGCGAAAAGAACCCCGGCGAGGGGAGUGAAAAAGAACCUGAAACCGUGUACGUACAAGCAGUGGGAGCCUCUUAAUGGGGUGACUGCGUACCUUUUGUAUAAUGGGUCAGCGACUUAUAUUCUGUAGCAAGGUUAACCGAAUAGGGGAGCCGAAGGGAAACCGAGUCUUAACUGGGCGUUAAGUUGCAGGGUAUAGACCCGAAACCCGGUGAUCUAGCCAUGGGCAGGUUGAAGGUUGGGUAACACUAACUGGAGGACCGAACCGACUAAUGUUGAAAAAUUAGCGGAUGACUUGUGGCUGGGGGUGAAAGGCCAAUCAAACCGGGAGAUAGCUGGUUCUCCCCGAAAGCUAUUUAGGUAGCGCCUCGUGAAUUCAUCUCCGGGGGUAGAGCACUGUUUCGGCAAGGGGGUCAUCCCGACUUACCAACCCGAUGCAAACUGCGAAUACCGGAGAAUGUUAUCACGGGAGACACACGGCGGGUGCUAACGUCCGUCGUGAAGAGGGAAACAACCCAGACCGCCAGCUAAGGUCCCAAAGUCAUGGUUAAGUGGGAAACGAUGUGGGAAGGCCCAGACAGCCAGGAUGUUGGCUUAGAAGCAGCCAUCAUUUAAAGAAAGCGUAAUAGCUCACUGGUCGAGUCGGCCUGCGCGGAAG